CAGCCGCCGCGGUAAUACGUAGGUGGCAAGCGUUGUCCGGAAUUAUUGGGCGUAAAGGGCUCGCAGGCGGUUUCUUAAGUCUGAUGUGAAAGCCCCCGGCUCAACCGGGGAGGGUCAUUGGAAACUGGGAAACUUGAGUGCAGAAGAGGAGAGUGGAAUUCCACGUGUAGCGGUGAAAUGCGUAGAGAUGUGGAGGAACACCAGUGGCGAAGGCGACUCUCUGGUCUGUAACUGACGCUGAGGAGCGAAAACGUGGGGAGCAAACCGGAUUAGAGACCCCAGUAGUCCCUGUCUCUUAUAC
rnacentral:rRNA from 1 species